rnacentral:rRNA from 1 species
CGCCUCUUGAAAAAAAUAUAAGAGGUCCAGCCUGCCCAGUGACAAAGUUAAACGGCCGCGGUACCCUAACCGUGCGAAGGUAGCGCAAUCACUUGUUCUUUAAAUGAGGACUAGUAUGAAUGGCAUCACGAGGGUUAUACUGUCUCCCUUUUCCAAUCAAUGAAACUGACCUCCCCGUGAAGAGGCGGGGAUAAAAUUAUAAGACGAGAAGACCCCAUGGAGCUUUAAACUCAGUAUCAACUAUCUAACUAUACUCCAUCAAAAUUUGAUAGUUCUGACUACUAGUUUUCGGUUGGGGUGACCGCGGAGUAAAACAAAACCUCCACGAUGAACGAACCAAUGUUCCUAAUCAUAGAGCUACAGCUCAAAGAAUCAAAAAAUUGACAUAAAUUGAUCCAAUUAAUUUUGAUCAACGAACCAAGUUACCCUGGGGAUAACAGCGCAAUCCACUUCAAGAGCUCCUAUCGACAAGUGGGUUUACGACCUCGAUGUUGGAUCAGGGUAUCCCAGUGGUGCAGCCGCUACUAAAGGUUCGUUUGUUCAACGAUUAAAACCCUACG